rnacentral:lncRNA from 1 species
GCCCCAAACAGUUUGCCUGCAGAGACCAGAUCACCUGUAUCUCCAAAGGCUGGCGGUGUGAUGGUGAGAGGGACUGCCCGGACGGAUCCGAUGAGGCCCCUGAGAUUUGUAAGUACUUUUUCUGAUCCCUUCUCCUAAACGCCUUUUCCUUUUGGCUCAGGAAGUUUGGGAUAAGGACGACUGAUCUCUAGCCUGGUGUGGACCUUGCUCUGUGAUUGUUUGUCCAUGACACAGCUAAAACUAUUCUCUCCCCCUCUUCAAAGUGCCCGGCACGGUGCAUGAUGUGCUCAGAAUGACACAUCCGAUUGCUCCUUUAGCGGCUGUACCCCCAAGCCUGCCAGAGACUUUGUUGUCUGGGCUGACAGCUUUGCUGGAAGGAGAGAACCCAGCUUCCCUUCCCUUCUUGCUCAGUCCUCUUCUCCCCACCUCUGAGACUUCUGACUCUUAAUAAGUGCCCCCAGGUCUUGCCGGGUCCUCUUCCUGUCCUCAGGUUCCCAGGCCAAAGGCCACUGGCUCUUACUCAGUCUCUGUACCAGAAGCCCCACCCCUGUGCGUUUCCCGCCACCCCCGCCUUCCCCUGCCCCAGUAAGUGGUGUAAUCAGAGGCAGCUGUUUAAACUGGGAGAAAGGUCCGCACCCAGCCUUUACCCUGCCGGGGGGGGGGGGGGAGGUGGAGGAUUUGCUGGCGGGACCCCAGAGUGUUGGGCAGCUGGCAGAGUCCUGGGGUCUCCACCUUCAGCCUCUCGCUGCUUGGCCAAUCGGGGCCAGGGUCUAGGAGACCCUGCAUUCCUAGGUCUGUCCCUGUUCUCUCUCCCAGGUUUAUCCUGCUCCAGCUCUAUUCCCUGUCCUCUCCCUAUACCCUCACCCACAAUGGUCAGGAGUAAUUUUAGGGCCAGAAAGGGAGCCACCCGUUCUCUCUGUCUUUUCCCCAUACCCUGCCCUCGAGGGGUAGAGUCGGGGAUAGUCUUCAAGUGUUUCUAUGGUGAGGGGAGUUCAGCCUGGAGAUUCUUCUUGCCAGAUACCACCUUUACGCCCUACUUUGUUUUACCCUGAUGCUUGAUGUGGGGGUGAUGGUAACCACGCAGAAGGGCCCUAUCUUUCUUCAGUUUGAUGCAGACCCCACCUUAGACACAUCCCCACAUUGUUUGCACUCAUGUACCCUCCCAGACCCAUCGGGGGGGCCCUGAUGCAUCCCUCCCCACCACCAUCACCACCACACACACACACACACACACGCACGCACACACACACGCACACGCACACACACAGACCAGGGCACACGUCAGCACAGACACAUUCUUAUAGCAACACAGAGUCCACACUCUCAAACAGGGAUGCAGAAGCCCAACCUCAGACAGACGCCCCCAGACACUCAUAAAAAUCCAGACUCACUCCUGAAGGACAUGGAAAUGCACAGACUGAGGCCAGAAGCACCAGCACAGACCAGCACGUGCAGACACACCCUCACUCCACACUCCUCGCUCCUCAUCUCCUUCACCCGUGUACAGGUACUCCUCCCCAGGCAUACAUGGACAGAUGGGCUCACACACAGAUACUCUCUCACACACCCUGUCCAGGCAUGGGAGCCAGGGUGCAGUGGUCUGUCUCCCAACGCAUGGGCUCAGCCAGCAUCCUAACCUGCUUGGCCUCCUUAGGAUUCCCUGAGGAGCUCUACCCUUCUCGCCCUGGCCCAUCUUCCUGGGCAACAAAGGAAGUACCAGAGACAUCAUCAGUGGGCCACAACCCUUGAUGCUUCCCAAAUCCUUCCACUAGGCAGGCUGCUCUGGGAUUGGGCAUCUAGAGUGGUAUCGUCCAACAGAAAUAUAAUGUGAGCCACAUAUGCAAUUUUGAAAUUUUCUGGUAGCCACAUUAAAAGAGGUAAGAGUAGGGGCACCUGGGUGGCUCAGUUGGUUAAGUGUCCGACUUCAGCUCAGGUCAUGAUCUCUCAGUCUGUGAGUUCGAGCCCUGUGUUGGGCUCUGUGCUGACAGCUCAGAGCCUGGAGCCUACUUUGGAUUCUGUCUCUGUCUCUGUCUCUGUCUUUCUCUGCGCCUCCCCACUCAUACUCUACCUCUCUCUCAAAAAUAAAUAAACAUUAAAAAAAAUAAAAAUAAAAAGAGGUAAGAGUAGUUAAGUGAAGUUAAUUUUAAUUUUAUAUUACCCAAUGUAGCUGAAAUGUUAUUAUUUCUGUAUAUUAAUCAUAUAAUAUUAGCAAUGAGAUCUUUUGCAUUCUUUUUUGUGUAUGUGGUAUUAAGCCUUUAUUUAUUUAUUUAUUUUUUAUUUUUUAUUUUUUUUGGUAUUAACUCUUUAAUGCCAGGGGCGCCUGGGUGGCUCAGUUGGUUGAGUGUCCGACUCUUCAUUUCAGCUCAGGUCACGAUCCCUGGGUCAUGGGAUUGAGCCCCGUGUCGAGCUCCAUGCUGAGCAUGGAGCCUGUUUAGGAUUCUUUCUCUCUCUGUCUGCCCAUCUUCCCCACUCAUGCUCCCUCUCUCUCAAAAAAUAGAAAAUAAAUUAAAUUAAAGAAAACUUAAGUCUUUAAAGCCAGUGUACUAUUUUAUACUUACAGUUUGAACUAGUCGCAUUUCAGGUGCACAAUAGCCACAUAUGGCUGUUGCUAUGUAUCGGACAGUGCAACUUCAUCUGGCUUUCAGCCCCGGCUCUGUGCCCUAGAGAGCUUUGGGAAGAAAGUGUUCUUUAACAUUUGAGCCUCUCUGCCACGGACGCUGCUUUCCUCGGCUCCUCAAAACCUUUCGCCUCUAAAUCUCAGCCCGUCUCUUGAGUGCACAGUGUGGAGGUGUUGGGGUCCGUACGUAUCGGGCAUGUGGGGAGCGGACUCUGCUGAAGGCCUAGUUCUUCCCUCUGCCCGGCUGCUCCUGGGUGUGUGGCUACCUUUGGGAAUGAUGACAAAGGGCCCUAGGUGGGAAAAUCUAACCAGCCCCUGAGACCUCCUGCGAUCUAAGAAAUGCGGGUAUCUGAAACCCCAGUCUGGGUGUCCUCAUCACCUCUCCAGUCUAGCCACCUUGUUCAUGCCAGGCUUCCCAUCUGCCCCCAGGUCCACAGAGUAAGGCCCAGCGAUGUCAGCCAAAUGAACACAAUUGCCUGGGCACCGAGAUGUGUAUUCUCAUGUCCCGCCUCUGCAACGGAGUCCAGGACUGCGUGGAUGGUUCGGAUGAGGGGCCCCACUGCCGAGGUAAGGGCUCUUCCACUUCUCCUGCCCCAGAUGGAUGCAGUGAGUUCUCAGCCAGGCCUGUGAUGGGUCUGGAGGCCCACCAUCCGAGGACUGUCCUCACACCUUCAGUGGGGAUGAGGCCUUGUCCUGCUCCCAUGCACAGAGAUGCCACCAGAUAGCAGCCCAAAUCAGUGGGCCUUUGAGUUUGGAGCUUGGUCAACAGCCCUAUGGGGAUCAGUAUGGGUGCUGGCCUGGACACUUCUCUUUGGCCAUGUGUGCUUGGCCAAGUCACUACCUCUCUCCAAAUCCCAGUAUCCCACCUGUAAAAUGAGAGCUUUGCACUAGGUCAGUAUUUUCAUACCUUGUUGUUGUAGAUAGUAGGGUCCUUUCUUCACAUGGUUUCUUACAUGCAACCUGAGUGUGAACAGGGAAAAAGAGAUGCUGUGGUUGAAGCUGGGGGUGGGGAUGUGGAGUCUGGUUCACCUAAUUCCCCGCCGAUGCCCCAGAAGCCAUCCCUCAGGAAAUGCAGAUCUUUGAGACACUCUGAAGCUGUUUGAUGGGAGGUCAUCCAGGCCAAGGAGGGAACGUUAGGAUGAUAGGUCCCUUCCCUGCUGUAGCUCAGGUCGCCAGCCCUGCCAUUCUUCCCCCAAAGGCCCCGUGGGCCAGGGAGAGUCUGGGUCAUGUGUGAGCAGCGGGGGAGGAUUCCGUCGGUAAGGCAGAGACUCAUACGUGCGAGGCAGGGAAUAGGGAAUAGUGACUUCUCCCUUCUACUGAGCUCAAGGUCUCCAGAGCUUGAGCAGGCCCCUGGGUGAUGGUGGCGUCUGGGCCUGUACGCAUGUCAGAAACAUCUGCCUGUGGGAGGAGACACAUCUGGAUCCUGUUCACUGAGGGCAGGGAGUGUGGAGCAAGGGAGUUUGUGGAAGAUUUUUAUCCUUUCCUUGGGUUGAUUUUGCAUGUUUUUGUCUAGAGCUCCUGGGAUGGGAUGCAGAGCUUAGGCCUAGGGGCUGACUUGAAUUACCAUGCCCAUCCCAUCUUAUCGAAUGGUACAUGUUCAAGUUUGCUUCCUUUUGAAUACCUUGUCAGCAUCAAAAACAACAAAGAACCUGGAGAACCUAGGGUCUGAACUCCCUUCUCUGAUAUGACAGAAGUUGGGCCUCCUUAUCCUCCUGCCGCACAUCCAAAAGAGAAAUUCUUCUCUAGAUCUUCCAGAACAAAAAAUUACCGCCCCCCCCCCCUGCUGAUCUCCAUCCUUUGUGGGGAAGGGCUGGACAGGCAGCACAUUUGGGCUGUUGGGUGGAGGUGGGGAGGAGAAGAAAUAACCAGGGACUGGCCCCCCAGUCCAGCUCCUCCUGGCAGGCUUAGUGCUUCUAAACGUCUUAGCAUCUCGGGCAGCUCUCUCUCCUAGGUGGGGGGGAAGUGGGGGUGUGAGGCCGCUGGACAAAGGGGUCUUUGUGGCCAGGCCGCCUGGCCCCACGCAAGGCCAUUAAUUGGGUCGCUGGUCUGGGGGGGCAGCUGCUCUCCCACCUCUUCCCCCUCCUGUCUCAUUCCCUUCUGUCUCCCCUGUGGAAGUGGGUCAGCAGCAGGAGGAAAAGAUUAGAGAAAGGUCCUGAGGGAACCAGUUUUGCUCCUCCUCUCAUCUUCUACCUGGACCUCGGACCUUCCCUCUGAGGUCUCUAGGGCUUGAGGGAUGGGCUGGAGAGGUGCUUCCAGACUAGAGCUGGGAUCCUGAGAGGAGAGACCCCAUCCCAUGCCCACUCCUCACCCUCAGCCCCGAAGCCAGCAUUGUGGUUCCUGGGCAGGGCAGAUAAGAGGCAUAUGAAGAGAAUGAGACUCACUGUCCUCGCUCCCUAUUGACCCCCACAACUGCCAGAGCCCCUCUUUCAUGGAGACAGAGGGAGUCCAGAGCAGCCAGAGCAGGAAGAUGUGGAUUCUAAGCCAUAAUUGGCUGUGGGACCUUGGGCCUGUCUUAUAACCUCCCUGGGCCUCAGUUUCCUCACUUGCAAAAUAUGUCAGAUGAUUCUUAAGCCCCUUCCAUCUCUGACACUACAAGCCUUGGAAGUGGUUUCUGAAGGGUUGGCAGGAGUCGGGGGAAGGUUACGGUCUGGGUGUGGCCGCCAGGUCUGGGGGCCUGAGUGCGUGUCGCCUGCCCCCACACAGAGCUCCAAGGACAGUGUUCUCAGCUGGGCUGCCAGCACCACUGUGUCCCCACACUCAACGGGCCCACCUGCUACUGCAACAAUAGCUUUCAACUACAGGCAGAUGGCAAGACCUGCAAAGGUAUGUGAGUGUGUGUGCUUGUGUGCACAUGUGCGUAUGCUGGGGUGGGUACAGGUGGGGAUGGGUGUGGGGAUGGCCAGUGGGCCUGGCCGGGGUAGGAGAAGAAUGAGACAGAAGGUACAAGAGAGGAGGCACGAUUACAUGCCCUGCAGCCUGUGGGCAUGACUGUGAGCCCUAACCACUUACUUCCACCAAAUUCCACUAAAUUCCUCUUAAAAUUACAUAGAUCAUAUGUGAGUUUUCUUGUAAAAACAUUAAAGCAUUAUAGAUAAAAACCAAAGUCUCCUUUGACGAAUCCUUUUCAGUUCUGCUCCCUUUUCCCUCUCUGGAGGUUAGCUGUGUUACCAGUUUGCUAUCUCUCUCUCCAGUCCUUUUUCUGUACAUCUCUCUGCCUGUAUUCACAGAUGAUCUAACUGAAAGUAUUGUUUAUGUGCGUGUGCUCUUUUUCACAUACAUAUCAUACUGUACAUACUUCUCUUCAGUUUUCUCAAUAGGUUCUAGAGAUUUUUCGAUAUUAAUAUGUAGGGAGGGGGGAGCGCCUGGGCGGCUCCGUUGGUUGAGUGACUGGCUCUUGAUUUCGGUUCAGGUCACGAUCUCAUGGUUCCUGGGAUCAAACCCUGCAUCGGGUUCUGCGCUGACAGUGCAGAACCUGCUUAAGAUUCUCUCUCUCCCUCUCUCUCUCUGACCCUCCCCCACGCUCUCUCGCUCUCUCUCAAAAUAAAUAAAUAAGCAUAUAAAAAUAUAUGUAGACAUCUACCUUGUACUUUUAGAAACCACUAUGGAGUAUGACUAUUGAUUACCACGGUUUACUUGGCAAUCUCCCUAUCGAUGAGUAAGAUGUUCCAGUUUCUCUCUGUCACAAACAGUGCACCUUUUCUGUUUUAAGAUUUACCUCCCUGGAGUCUUUGCACAAAGGCCACCUUCUCAGUGAGACCAUCCCUAAAAUCACAACCCACUGCCUACAUUCCAUAUCCCCUUUCUCUGCUUAAUAUUUUCCCACAGCACCAGUCACUUUUCCACUGUAUUAUCACCUCUAACAUAUAACGUACUUCUCUGUUUAUCAUGGAAUGCCAAUAUUUCAUUUAUUAUCAGAAUUUAAGUUUCAUGAGGGCAGCAGUUUGAAUCUCUUUUAUUCACGGAUAUAUCUUCAGAGCCUAGGACAGUACCUGGCAUAUAGUAGAUACUCAAGAAAUCUUUUCUGAAUGAAUAGAUGAUGUGCAUGCGUGUGGGUAUUUCUCGAGGGUAGAUUCCAAGUUCGGACUUGCUAGGUGAUAAAGUUUGCACCUUUCCUGUUGUGGUAGAUUCUGCCAAAUCGCCCUCCGAAGAGGCUGUAGGGAUGGACACCACCUUUGGAUGGUGUCUGAGGGCACCCACUUCCCUGUCCUUAUUACACUGGAGAUGACCAUGCUCUUGCCCUUUUCCCGGCAGACUUUGAUGAGUGCUCAGUUUACGGCACCUGCAGCCAGCUGUGCACCAACACAGAUGGCUCCUUUACAUGUGGCUGUGUGGAAGGAUACCUGCUGCAGCCAGACAACCGCUCCUGCAAGGCCAAGAAUGGUAGGUGGGGUCACCUGUGGUCACAAUGAUAGGUGGCCUCCAUGUUGCUCCCCAAUGGGGAGUGGCCUGAGAGGUCCUAGAGCCCCUUGCUGCAUCGACCCUUCUCUCCUCCACCUACAGAGCCAGUAGACCGGCCCCCUGUGCUGCUGAUUGCCAACUCCCAGAACAUCCUGGCUACGUACCUGAGUGGGGCCCAAGUGUCUACCAUCACGCCCACUAGUACACGGCAGACCACAGCCAUGGACUUCAGCUACACCAACGAGACUGUGUGUUGGGUGCAUGUUGGGGACAGCGCUGCCCAGACACAGCUCAAGUGUGCCCGCAUGCCCGGCCUGAAGGGCUUCGUGGAUGAGCACACCAUCAACAUCUCCCUCAGUCUGCACCGUGAGUCGCCUGCUCCCAGCUUGGAGAGCAGGGGAAGGGAGGGAAGAUGGGCAAGCUGGUGCCUGCCUAGGACAAAGGCAGUUAGAUGGGAUGACCCCUGUCUGGGGCAGGAGUCUAAAUAAGAAGGCCUUGCCUGAAGCUAAGGCAGGGGGCUGCACAAGAUGACGCCUACUUGGAGCAGGGACAGAGUUAUGGCUAUGCUCCCUUCCUUCUCUCUGAGCUCCAGAUGGCUCCUGAUUUUGGCCCAGGGCUGAGGAAGAGGGCUAAGGAGGCACUGAAUGGUCAAUCUCCAGAGACAAGGGACUGUCCCUUCUCAGAGAGACAAGUGUUGAUUAGACCACAGAGGGGCUUUCCCGUGCAGCAGGAGUCAGGGCAAGGGAAAGAAAAGGCCUGGAGCCUUGAGGGAAGCUUGCUAAGUUAGGACUGAGUGCAAAGAGGUCAGGGCUUGGCUGGGUUUGUCUCCAUGUUCCGUUAUUUUCCUUGGGGGCAUGGCCAGAAUGGACCCACGGCUGCAGGGUGAGUGUGGGGGUCCUGAGGCUGUUUUGGGGGCAGCUUUGUGGCAGUGAAUGAGACUAUAGGAGAAGCAGUGAGCCCUGGGGCCACAGGAGUGUUUUAAGACCUCCUGGAUGUUCCCAUUCAAACUCCUUCCCGGGGCUGUACCUUGCUGUCUUAGGGGUGGAAGACAGGGUGUACCUAGGGAUGGGGCCGGGGCAUAGAUCCACUGCCUGGAGCAGCCCCGCUCCUCUCAGAUGCUGUUACAUAAACAAACAAAACAUCUGGCACCAUCACAUUUCCAGGAAAUGCACCACAGGGCUGAGGGGGAAGAUCUGGCCUGUGGUUGAUCUGACCCCCGGGAGGGAGGGUAACUUGAUCUGUGAUCUUGAAUAAAUCAGAAUUCCCUGUCCCUGCUUUGAUUUCCUAAUCCACAUCAUGGGUAUGAGCUUGCCUGUCCAGAUCAGAUAAACUGAAGUGAAAGCCAGAGGUAAGUCACAAGCUUUAGGAUGGUGAACCUUGGGCCUCGUAGAUCUUUAAGUUCCUUCAUUGCGUCCCCAUAUGAUGAUCCCCACAGAAGACAGAGAUCCUCGGAGGAUGUAUGGGCUUAGCUGUGGGGUAGCAGGGGUUCCUGAGAGCCCUCGCCCUCUGUGGCCUCAUCGUAUGGUCCACACCUUGUCUCCAGCUCCUCCAGAGCAUCCCAGUGAUGUCCUUGGGCUGUUGGUCACCAAGGCUCACCUGUGAUCAGACUCGUCUUCCCUGGAAUGCUGGCUGGGGGCUGCCACACGUGGUUGGCUGAACUCUUGAGGGGUGGGCAGAUCAGGGAACCCUAUGGCAGAUAGGGUAGCACAGGGUGAGACCCCAUGAGACGGCUGCCCUCUCCCUGCUCCUUGUUGACAGCCCCACCCAACAGGCCUGUCUGGGCAAACAGCUCUGGCAGCUCCCUCCCUGGCCCUGCCUCCGGGCCAGACGAUGGGCUCGUGGGUAGGCGGCUGGCGAGGGUGCCCUGAUGGGAAACUUCUCCGCUUUUGCUCUGGCCUGGCCCCCUCUCCUGCUUUCCUCCCAAAGUGAAGCAGGAAAUAAGCUCAGGCGGGUACCCCUCCCUUGGCAAAUAGAACCUUGCCUCCCGGUCUGUUGGAUUCACUGGGCCCCUCUGGGGCAGAGUCCAGGAGGCAGGAGGAGACCAAGGUUCCGGGGAGAAAUGCUAGUGGGGUGGAUGAGUGGGUUCCUGUGGCCCCAGCCUCUGUCCCUCCUCCCUGCCCUGCCCCCACCCCACGCUCCAUGCCGCCUGAAUGUCUGGCUGUCACCCUGAGGAUGGUUGUUUUGCUCUCAUCCCACAGACUAAUUAUGGGCCCUGAGAUGAGGAUGUCGGAAGUGUCUCUCCCCUAGCACCCUCCCCCAUCUCUAGUUCAGCCCCUUCCCAGGAGAGGCUGGGUGCCCUGUCCUGGUGUGCGGGUGGCUGUCCCAGGCACUCACCUGUGCAGUGGGCUGCUGGCCUGUAAUUAGCUCCCCAAGGGGGAUGAAGAAGAAAGGCUCCUGCUUUCUCCUGCUUUCUCUCUGCCCCCUGGGGGAGCUCUCCCUGCAAUCAUCCCAUUCCUGGCUAGGACCAUGACCUCCAUUGCACCCCUGGGAGGGAGCCCCAUGCAGGAGGGAGGAGUCUGACAAUUGAGAGGUGCUGGGGCCCAGAGGCCAAGACGCAGAGAGGCGGAGAGAAGCCUGCUUGCUGCUGUGGGAAGAAGGGGGAGCCUGCCCCAGAGAAAACUCUGGGAACAGAAAUAGAAUAGAAAAAAGGAAGGAGGCCAGGAAGUGAGCCUGUUUCACAUGGGUCCUAGGGCUUGUGUGUUGCAGACCUGCUCUGAGUCCUGAGAGCCCUCAGAGGGCCCCUCCCAGAGCCCUGCCAUGCUCAGGGGUUGGUGCAGCUUCCAGGAGAGGCUCCGUGGAGCCGGCUGGGGAUCGAAGCUCCUGCUUUUUCCUGUCUUGAUCCCAGCUCCUUCCCUCUGUUUCUGCCCAAGAGUUAGGGGACACUGUCUUACCAAUGUCCUCACACGUUCCGGAAGGUGUAUGUGCGUGCGUGCGCAUGUGUGUGAGUGUGUGUGCGUGCGCUGUGCGCGCUUUCCUCCCUUAACUGAGCCCAGGCUGCCAGUGCUCCUUCCCCUGUCCGUGACUUUCACUGGCUUGGAUUGGGGGGCCUUGGGGGCUGAGUCCUCACCUCUUCCUUUCCCUCCUGGGAUAUAAUUCCAGGACACAUCCUCCCCUCUGCCACUGUCCCAGCAGCGUGGGGAGGUCUCUGUGGAUUCUGAUUCUGUGACUGGAGAACAUGGUAGUGAGAGCUGGAAGAUCCUUAGGGAGGACCAAGGCUGGCCCCUCAGUUUUUAACACUGCCUUUCCCAAAGCAGGCUGCCUUGAUUUUAGGUUAUACAUGGAUGUGCAUUUUUUAUCAUUAAUUUUUAUUUUUUAAUACCUAUUAGGAAACUCCUAUAACUAGUAUAUCAAAUCUGUGAUUUCAUAGAUUGCUUAGGAUAUAGCAAAAUAAGAAAAAUGAGUUGACUUAAAGAAACAGUAGGUAAAUGAUAGUGCAGGCUGUACAUCACCUUGGCAAGCAUUUCGAAAGUGAUACACAAAAGACCGAAGUUCUAGAAACUGAGACCCACAGGGGUCGGUUGGCCUGGUAGUACCAGAGCCAGGCCUGGUUUGCCCAUUCUGCCCCUCACCUCUGUCCACGCUCUCAAGGAAACUUAAGCUCUGCCCAGCCCCCUGCUGGCUGCCCCUGGGCAGGGCUGAAAGUCAGGUCUGCUGACCCAACCCACCCCCAGCCCUGCAUUGCCUUGGCUGUGUUCCUCUGACCUGUCUUCCAGUAGCUUUGGGUAUGUUUCCACUGUAGAAAGAAUGAGGGCAGACUGCAGGACUGGGGCCCUGGGAAGGGGUGUGUGUGUGGUGAGGGGAAGUUCUGACGCUGUGCAUGGAGGCCUUCAGGGAAAUAAGUUUUGUGUAUGAGGGGAUGCUCUGGAGGGGCCCUCAGGGGUCCUGGGGUUUCUUCCCUGCACCAUCCGCAUGGGGAAGGAGGAGGUAGGAAUAAACGGCCCCCUAGGCUGCAGGCAGCAAGGUUGCGAAAUGUGGCCCCAAGUCCAGCUGGCCAGUUUCACUUAUCCCUCCCUCUUUCUUUGUGUGCGUGUGUGUGCGUGUGUGUAUGUGUGUGGUUAAAAUCACAACAGGAAAUGGGUAGUGAUGUGUCUAGAGGGAAGGCAGAGAGGGGGCAGAGAGUAACCCCCCUGCAUCUGUGAUGAACUGUCUUCGCCGGCUGGAAGGGGAGCUGUCUUUCCACUGAACUGGGCAGCCUGGGCCCUCUCAGCCUCCCAGUCUAUGCCUAUGGAAUACUUCCAGAUUUCAUAUAUGAAAGCCAGCCACCACCACCCUCUUCCUUGGCCUUCCUCACCCAUAGGGUGUCAGAAUCCUGGGGGGCGGGGGCUCCUGCCAGCACACUCUUUGGCCUUGGGCCACCCGCAUCCUGGUGCUUUUGCUUCCCAUUCCCGUCCUGAGUUUCUUAAUCAUUUCACAGCCCUGCUCUCCUCUCCCUGGCUAGGCCAGCCCCACGUCUCCUCUCCGUCUCAGUCUCCCGGCUCAGCUCCAGCCUGUCCUCUCCUCCCCCGCUGUCUCCUUGAAGUUGCCUCUCCACCCAGGCCUGCUCCCUAACCCCCCCCCUUCCCUGUUUUCAAGCCACAGGAAGUAACUUAAGCAAGAAAGAUGUGUUUUAGAGCCCAGCAAGGAUUUCUCAAUAGUGGGAAGAUCCUGGUUCUGAUUCUGAAUCAGAGCUGCAGAAUUUAGGCAUCUCUUCUCUGGGACCAGCACUGACUGCCUUUGUGGACCUGGGCCAGGCAGGGGAAGGAGCAGAGCAGAAACCCCAGGCGGGUACAAGUGGGGCAGGAAGGGAGCCCAGGGGACAGAGGUGAUGUGAUGUGGCUGAGCCAGGGCCUCUCUGGGAACAAGAGGAGCUAAAGUCGGCUCGGCAGGAAACAGGAGCAUGAGACAUGCCAUUUGGCAAAGCUCCUGCCAGACCUGCCUGGCGGUCUUUUACCUGCUUGCAAAGACCCCAGACUCCUGAUCCUCUCCCCCAGCCCUCCCUCUCCCCACUCAGGACGAGAUCCCCAAGUGGCUCUGAGAGGCGGGAGGAUUACCAGACAGAUGUGUUCUCCCACCAUCGUGGGGGCGUCCCAAGGCCAGAGAAGGAGGAUCCUGGCAGUCGAAGGAAAGGGAAAAAGUGAUGUCCCAGUUCUAGGACAACAGCGUGAGGAGUCAGUACUCAACAAAUAUUUGUUGAAUGAAUCAGUAUAUGUGUGUCAGACGCCGGGGAGAGAGAUGAAAGACAGCACCCUGCCCUCACAAUAUUUGUAGUCAGGUAAACAGACUGUGAUGAAAGGACUUACUGGGCCAUACAGGCACCUGAAAUACAGAAAUCUUUCUUCUGGGGGCCUGAGCUGAGUCUUGAAGAAUAGUAGGUGUUAGCCCCAAACUGCGCACCUGGAGGGCCCGCCAUUAGUCAGGAGGCCACAGAGUUCUAGCUGGAGGCACAGAUGGUAACUGGGUGGACAAGGUAGGGAAGAAUGGGGUUGAGGUGAGGGAGGAUCGUGGUAUGAACAGCUCCCACUUAUAGAGUGUUAAUUAUGUGCCAGGCCCUGUGCUAAGUGCUAUUAAUACACCGUCCCAUUUUACAGAUGAGCAAACUGAGACUCAGACAUUAAGUAACUUUCCCGUAAUCCCACAGUUGGAAGAUGAUAGAACCAGGAUUCGAGCCCAGGCUGUCAGUGUCUAGAGCCUGGCUGGGCCCAGGGUGGAGCAGAGUGACGGGAGAGGUGGGGAGUUUCCUGGAAUAAGGACCAGAAUGUGUGUGUCCACUGGGGAUGUGGUUAAAGUGGAAGUGGGUUUCAUCCUCCCUCAUCCACAGGCCUCAUGACCUGUCCUAUAAUCUUUGGGUAUGUGGAUGCAUUGGGGGAUAUUUCCUCACAGCAGGGAGGCGCCCUUCCUCCCCCAGAUUUGUUUUAGGGAAAGUGACUGGAGUCCUGUAGCUGAAGCCAGGGUCUUCUUAGUAAUGGGGUGGGCUGUUGUUUUUGGGAAAGCAACCACUGUUUAGGGAAAUAACUCUUGAACAAUGUGAAUGGUAGAGAAGUUGAGAAAAAUUGGACUUAUAGGGGGUGCAGAGUGCUGAGCAUUGGGGUGGGGGAGUGCAGGGAGGGCUCGUCAGUUAUAAACACACACCCCUGGUCUAUUCUGGAGCCUGGAAGUGAAAGUCUUUAAUGACAUUACUGGCAAGCUGUGGUCUGUCCUCUUGACUAUCCCAUCCCCCUCCCAGCUUCCUAGCCUCCUUCUGUAAGCUGGAAUUUCCAACUUCUUGGCCCCCAGACCAUCCCCAGACCCUUUCCACAACAUAGCAUUCCUCUCCUUGGGUUUACUUGAGGUUCUCCUGUCUUCAGGAUUUGGGGCCUUUGGCCAGAGCCCCUUGGAGGGUGCUCUGGGGUGGCUCAGCCCUGAGAAGCCUGGGCUGCAGGGGACAGUUGCCCUCUGAAUGUGUGGGGCCAGAACAUUCAGGUCCUCUAGGGUGAAACCCAGGACUCAACUUGCCCGCCCCUGCCCCUCAUGCCAUGAGACAGGGCAACGGCCCAGAUACUGCCUAUAGGGGAGCCCAGGAGGGAAGGUUCCCUCUCCCAAUCUGAACCCAUCUGUCUACGCUGGCCUUAGGUAUGAGUGGCCGAGUGUGUGUGUGUGUGUGUGUGUGUGUGUGUGAAGAUGUGUGCAUGUGUGUGAGUGUGUGUGGUUGGGCGGGCAGAGGAAUCUGGACUUUAGGAGAGGGGAAAAUAAUGUGGUGGAGGGGGGUUGGAUAACAAAGGAUUUUUUGGCUUGCGACUAAUAGUCUCCAGCUGCAAAAAUACCAAAGUGGAGGCAAGGCCGGGCUGGGGACUCCCGUUCUUGCCAACUCCUCACCGGCCUGCUGAGUGGGGCCGUGCCUGGCCUUUGGGAGGUGGAAGGGGAGACCGGCCAAGGGUAAAUAAUCUAGAGCAAGGACGAUCCUUCUGCCUUCCUUCCCGGAAUUGGCAGGGAACCCAGGCCAGGAGUGAGGCUCGAAGGUCAAACACUUCCUGGGGCUAAGGGGGUGAUUUGUAGCUGCACCUGGGAUGGGGGGGGCAUCUGAUCUCUUCAGAUUUCUUCCUCCUCCCUUCUCGCUGAGGGAAGGGUGGAUGGGGAGCAGGGGCAGGGUGUUGCCAGCCUGGAGCUGGGCAGUGACUCAGGGAAGCCUCAGGAAGUUAGAGAGGAGGACGCAGCUGCACCAGCUGGUGCUGGGAAACCAGCUUCCAAUGAUGAAGUUCCUCUGCAUGCCAGCAGCCCCCUGCUGUGCCCACCAAGUAAAGGGCACGAAGCCCUAUUUGCCUUUCAACCUGUUUGCCUUCCAACCUACUUGCCUGCUGGCUGCCUGGUGCUGCGGCAGGUCUCCCCCCCCCACACACACACUCUGGUUUGGGACUUUGGGUUUCCUUUGGAGGCGGCCCAGCAGCAUUCAUUUUAAUCUGUUUUCUCCGUGGUAACGGUGUGUGGAGCAGCGUGAUUGCCUUAUCCCAGCACUGGGCCCUCUUCCUACAUGGUCUGGGACCCACACUUCCAGGCUGCUCUGCCCCUCUCUUCUACUGUCGUCAGGGUGCUAGGAGCCCAGGGGAGAGAGUGGUUUGGUUUGGGGGUGCAUCAGCAACCACAGGGACAAUGCCUCAUCCCUGUGACUUCUUUCUCCAGUCACCCUGAAGUGGGGUUUAACGGGGGGACCUGAAAAGGAAACUAGUUUGAUGAGAACCUCAAAUUGGCUCCUUCCCUUCCUCCCCGGCCUAAGUCCUGUGACUGUGAGUCAGUGUCAGGGCCUAGCCAAGUUCCUUGGGAGCCACGUUCCUGUUCCCUUUGCCCCCCACCCCCACCCACUGUCAGGAAAUAGCCUCUGAAUCCCUGUGGGGAGAGGGAAGGAUUAGGGAAGAGUUGAGCAGAGCAUCUAGUCAUUAUACCUACAGCUCUGUGGGGAUAGAAUAACCCCUACUGGGUUUAAGUGUGGGUAGCGUGUGGGGGUAAGGUUCAGCCAAAGGCAGGUGGUCCAAAGAUCUCUUUACUUACUGAAAUUGGUAAAGGUGGAGUGCAAGGCAGGAGUCCUGAGGAGUCACUGUCUUAGAGAUUCCUAGUCUGCAAGAAGCAUCACCUCUGGUGGUGGUAGUUGAAGGGGACAAGUAAGUAAAUGGAUGGGAGCCAGUGGGUCCUGGAGAGGAGGUGCCUAGAAGAGGCCAGCAGGGGUCCCUGUCUCCAGACUUCCAGCCUCCAGACUUCCCACUGCCCUUGCUCCACCCCUACCCUCUUCAGUCCUUUUUAGCCUCUUCCAUCUCCUCCAGAGAUGGCAUAGACUAAGUGUGGGCACCUGGUGUCCAUCCUCCUCCCCUACUCACCUUUCUGAAGCUCCCCUUCUUUCUGAACCAUGCCUCAGUUUACCUUCAGAGUCCUUUUAUGGCCUUCCUCCUAUGUUCUCUGUCCUCCAGCCCUAUAGCUUAUUCUCUGCUCCUUCCUACCCUCCCUAAGACAUGAGGAAAUUGAGCAAUAGGGACAUUGAAGAAACGGGAACAGGAGUGAGUAGAGGAAGUUUGGCCUAUGUCACUGAUUCCAACCUUUUGACACCGUGGGCCUUCCCUUUUCCAUCUCUAUGGGUGCCGUAUUUUGACAUACUUUUCUCUCAGAUUGCAUUUAUUGAUGGUGUGCCCUGCUUUUCCAUUUUUAAGAGUCAUAGAACAUGUACAGUGUUUGGUCAGUGCCCUGGCUAGCAUGAGAUACCCUGACUUACCAUAUAAAAUUGAUGAAAGUCCAGCCAACAUCGAAGAUGUGUGAUAUUUUAGUUAGCCUGAGUGCUGGUAUCUCAAGUAAAAGCAUAUUUAAAAAUACUGGAUGAGCCAGUGGACCUGUCUUCAAUGCCUUUCAGUACCCCAAGAAGAUGGUCCUGCUCAAGGAAGGUCUAGAGUUCAGGAAGCUUGUCCAUCAACUAACCAGCCAAUGCAUACCUAGUGCCCCCUGUGUGCUGGCCUUGAACUCCGUGUGCAGAGCAGGGUUCUGUGGGAGGAUACGCAGACACUUCACUUUGGAGAGGCCAAAUAGGUAGAAAGAUGGCAAAGAAUACAAGGCAAAAUUGUGCCCUUGCCGUUAACUCCUAUAGGAGGAGCUCAGAGAGGAGAAACAGCUGUCACCUACAUGGUGAAGGAGGUCGUCCCAGAGGAGGUGGGCUUCCGGGGGUGGGUUCUGCACCAACAAGGGGUGGCCCUGUCUAGAGGUGGGCCUCCCCCCAUAGCUCUUUCACUCACACUUUUCAGAUGUGGAACAGAUGGCCAUCGACUGGCUGACGGGCAACUUCUACUUUGUGGAUGACAUCGACGAUAGGAUCUUUGUCUGCAACCGAAACGGGGACACGUGUGUCACUUUGCUGGACCUGGAGCUCUACAACCCCAAGGGCAUUGCCCUGGACCCUGCCAUGGGGUGAGGGGCGGGCAGAGGCUGUGGUGGAAGGGAGAGCGUUCAAUGUCCACAACGCAGCUAACGUGCCCUCUGCCCGCAGGAAGGUGUUCUUCACUGACUAUGGGCAGAUCCCAAAGGUGGAGCGCUGCGACAUGGAUGGGCAGAACCGCACCAAGCUGGUCGAUAGCAAGAUUGUGUUUCCUCACGGCAUCACGCUGGACCUGGUCAGCCGCCUUGUCUACUGGGCUGACGCCUACCUGGACUAUAUAGAGGUGGUAGACUACGAGGGCAAGGGCCGGCAGACCAUCAUCCAGGGCAUUCUGGUGAGGGGGAAGCUUUUGCAGGGGAGCCAUUCUCUAGGCCUCCCAGUGAGAGGGAGGACAGUGUGGGACAGUCUCUCUGGUGGGAAGCAGGGUGGACAUGGAGAGGAUGUGGCUUCCACUCUGGUGGAAGCAGUCAUUUUAGAUACACCUUUUACUUCCCUUUUCUCACUUGAUCCUUACAAUGACCCCUGGGAGGUAGGUGGACCAGUGUCUUAGUUCACUUUUGGUGGGUGAAAAAACAGCAGCGUUCAAAGAGGUUAAGUGAUUUGCCUGAGAUUACACAGCUGAGAAAGAGCGCUGGAACCUAGUCUAGAAGCCUUUCCAACUCAGAGGUGGCACCUCCAAUCUGGGAUCAUUAGGGUGACCAACCAUCCCUGUUUGUCCAGGACUGUCCCAGUGUUAGCCUGGGAAGUCCCACAAACCAGCAAAUCCCUUUGUCUUGGACAAGCUGGACAGUCAAUUACCUUGGGUAAGUUAUGUGGGUAGCGAGGGCUGUUACCAGGCAUCAUUGAGGCAAGUCUGCCCUCUCAACUUCCUAAAGCUGGGGGCUGGAGAAUGUUUUCUGUGGACAGAGUUUAGGGCCCAACUCUACUUCAGUCCAAAAUCAUUCCAUCAUCUACUGUAUGCCUAAAUCUCUGGGGAACAUUGUUCCUGCCCUCAAGGGGUUUGAGCAGAGUAGAUGGGGUAAGUCCACAAAUCACCAGACAGGGGAUAAUAGCCAGAGAGAUGGAAUGUGAAGGGAAAGCCUGUGUCUGGUUAGAAGAUCCCAGAAGUUCUACAAAGAAACGCUCUGUGAAGGAUAAGUGGGAUUUUGACAAGCAAAGAUCUCAAAAGCAAGAAAAUCCAACCAGAGGAUACAGGAGUAAAACAUGGAGUUAGACAACCGUGGAAUGAAUUUGGGAGUGUGAAUAAUGAAAUCUGGAUGGGAAGCCAAGGAGCAUUCCAGGGUCAGAGGGAGGAUUCCCUUCUCCUCUCACGUUGACCAUUCCUGCUUGCCCAUCUCAGAUUGAGCAUCUGUAUGGCCUGACCGUGUUUGAGAAUUAUCUCUAUGCCACCAACUCGGACAACGCCAAUGCCCAGCAGAAGACGAGCGUGAUCCGAGUGAAUCGAUUCAACAGCACUGACUACCAGGUCGUCACCCGUGUGGACAAGGGUGGUGCCCUCCAUAUCUACCACCAGCGGCGUCAGCCCCGAGGUGAGUGGGGCUCUGCAGCCCCUUUGUGGACCCUCCUAUGGGAGCCCCCGGUUCUCUCAUAUCAUGACUACUUCUUGUAGCCAUCCACCGUGGACUACCUUCCCUGUCCCCUCAGAUUCCCCUGCCAGCCCCUUCCUGCCCUUCAGCCUCCAGAUCUCACCUCCAAGGAGCCCCUGCCCCCCAUUCUGCUCAGAACAUAGGUUGUUCCUCCCAGUUCCCUGGCUGCUUUAGAGUAGAAGCACCUGACCACAGGCGAUGGCAUGACUGUCUCCCCUGAUCACAGAAGCCCCCACCUGAGAGUCUGAAGGCUAAGUUAUGGUGGGGCAGAGAAAUCCUAGUCCUGUGGUUUCUGAAUCUUCAAAAUGGGACAAUAAGCAUAAAGACCACAUCUGGGUGGGGGAGGGACGGGGGUGGGGUGCCCGGCUGGUUCAGUUGGUGAGACAUGUGGCUCUUGAUCUCGAUCUCAGGGUUGUAAGUUCAAGCCCCACAUUGGGCGUGGUGCCUGCUUAAAAAUUAAUGAAUGAAUGAAUCAAUUAAAAAGACCACAGCAGGAUGGAGUGUGGUCAGACUUCAGGACAUCUUCUCAAGGCCUGGGCACGGGGGCUCUGAAGAGUCCUGACUGGUUCUCUACCCUGCCUGCAGUGAGGAGCCACGCCUGUGAGAAUGACCAGUUCGGGAAGCCAGGUGGCUGCUCAGACAUCUGCCUGCUGGCGAACAGCCACAAGGCACGGACCUGCCGCUGCCGUUCUGGCUUCAGCCUGGGCAGUGACGGGAAGUCAUGCAAGAGUGAGUGACAGGGAAGGGCCUGUGUGCCUGCUGGGAUGGGGUGGGGCGGGAUUCUUAUCUGCCUCCUUACAGCUGGCUGUUUCCAUCAGAGAUGCAGAGAAAUGAAGGGAUUUACCCAACAUUUUGCUUCUAGUGAGGGGCAUAGAAGGAAUUUGAACCCACAUCCGAGAACAAGGCUUUUCCCACUACCCUACUCGGGCUCCAUAGAAGGCUGUCAACUGGCCCAUUCACUUCAUUCAUUCAUUUUUUCACUCAUUCACUCGACAAAUAUCCAGUGAGCAUGUACUACAUGUCUGGCACUCUCCUGGCAAUGAGGAUUCAGCAGUGACAAGAUAGAUGUCAUCUCUGCCUUCCAGAGCUUGUAGUCUGGCAGAGGAGACAGACAAAUAAAAAUAGCUUCGGGUGGUACCUGGUGUUAGGAAGAAAAUAGAGUGGAAUGUAGACUUGCUGAUGACAGUGAGGGCUCCAGGUUAGACAGAGGGUCAGGGAAGGCUUCUCUGUGGAGGUAGGAGUUAAGCCAAGCUCCCUAUGAAGUGAGGAGUUGGAUCACGUGAGGACCCGAAGGCAGAGCUCCCUGGCAGAGGGAACCUACAGUGCCAGGCUCCAAGGCUGAGAACGGCACAGCAUGAGUGAGGGGAGGCAGGAAGGAGAGGUUGGAUGGGAUUCUAAAUGGGAUGAGGAGCUCUUGGUGACUUUCCAGCAGAGAAGUGACGUGAUGUGCUUCACAUUUGUAAGGAGAUCAUGCUGGCUGGCCGCUGGGUGGAGGAUGGACAGCAGGGAAGUGGCAGGAGGCCACUUCUGCCCUGUAAGCAGGAAGCGAUGUGGCUUAGAUAAGGAUGAUAGCAGAAGUGGUCCAAAGUGAUCAGAUUCCAAUCAGAUUCAGUGGGCACUUAACUGAAAACAUGCUACUUGUUACUCUUGCCACAUUUCCCACCCCCAGAGUGCAUAGGCUGCCCACCAGGGUGCUGUCCCCUGGGCUUUAGAUGUUUAUGCAUCUGUCCAUGUGGCCCAGACCCCCUGCUACACCCAUAUCCCCUGACCCAGGAGAGCUGGGGUUUUGCAGAUCCUUGGGCACAUGUACCUAACUUUGUGUCCCCCCUCCUCCCCUCGUGCCUGCCCUAGAGCCAGAACAUGAGCUGUUCCUUGUGUAUGGCAAGGGCCGGCCAGGCAUCAUCCGGGGCAUGGAUAUGGGAGCCAAAGUCCCAGACGAACACAUGAUCCCCAUUGAGAACCUCAUGAACCCCCGGGCCUUGGACUUCCAUGCUGAAACUGGCUUCAUCUACUUUGCUGACACCACCAGCUACCUCAUUGGCCGCCAGAAGAUCGAUGGCACUGAGCGGGAGACCAUCCUGAAGGACGGUAAGGGCCCCCAGUGAGGGAGGUGUACAGACAGGACCCCCGAAGGGCACCCACCUGGGACAGGAAGCGAUUGGAGGCCUGGGCAUCGCUUUCUCAGUGCCCUUUCGGCAUGGAGAGUCCCCUGCUGACUGGCUGGCUGGGCUGGUUGGCAUGGAGAUGAGGGGAUAGACAGAUUGACCCCUGUGUGACCCCCUUCUUGGCUGAGCCGAAAAGAGGCAGGAGGAUGGAUGGUUAGGCAGCGUGGGCUGUCCUUGCCAACCCUUGGGAAAACUCGGGGUCUCUCUGCCAUUGGCUCUGAGCCCCAGAGCUGCACGCAGUACACAGCCCACGAGAGUCCUGAGGCCUUGAAUAGGAGCAGGCAUACCAGCACAUGAUUGCACACGGAAGGUCUGUGCAGCCAGACCUCACGGCCACCGGAGCUGCGUGUUUACUUGUCCUGAGAAGAGUAUGUUUUGUGAACUGAAGCCAGUUUUUCCCUCUGAGCUGCACGGGCAGGUCAACAGUACUUUGUCUCUUGAAUAUCCAUCUGCGUGGAGGCUCUGAGCUCCUGAGUUCCGCCCUGUUCCUGCCGGUUGUUAGGAAUUCCCACACUUGGGCCCCCGGGACAGGGCUCCCUAACCAGUCAUCUAGCUGACGCCAGUUAGCGCUCCCCACCCACCCCCACUGCCGUUGGCUCACAGAACCUCACCAGUCAGCAAUCAUAAGACUUUGGGGAAAUCAAAAGUAACUCAUCAGGAAAAGAUUGGGGUUCCCUAUACCAAGGGAACUGCUAUUUAAGCCUGAGAUGAAGCCUUUGGCUCAGUGAAAAAUCACUUCCUGAUUUAUUCGUUUUGUUAGCUCAGGAUUUUUCGGCCUGGGAUCUUGUGUCACACUUGUGCCCAGAGCCACCCGCACACUGCUCCAGCUCACCCCGGCUCAGGCUCAUGCAUGCCCUCACAUGAGAGGUCACAUCCACCACAUAGGCUUAUGGGCUGCCAUGGACAGUUUUCAGAGACCCUGGGCCUCAACACAGACGCGGUGGCAACACAGUCUUCCCAGCUCUUUCUUCCAACCUCCCACCCUGUCCCACCCACCCUCUAGGGCUUUCCACACUCCCUGCUAGUCAGGUUGCUCAGAGGCAUGUGUAGCCUGAGGGUCAGAGGCAGGCAGUCUUGAGCUUCCUUUGAGGCUCUCCAUUGCCCCCUUCACUCCCUGCAGGUAUCCACAAUGUGGAGGGUGUGGCUGUGGACUGGAUGGGGGACAAUUUGUAUUGGACGGAUGAUGGACCCAAGAAGACCAUCAGCGUGGCCAGGCUGGAGAAGGCUGCUCAGACCCGCAAGACCUUAAUCGAGGGCAAAAUGACGCACCCCAGGGCCAUUGUGGUGGAUCCACUCAAUGGGUGAGUCUUCCCAGGGCCUUGGGGUAGGAGGAGCCAGGAACUGUGGGUGUCAGAACUGGGAGGUGAGACAGAGAGUGAACGGGGAUGGCAGCCUAGGUGGAGUGCUGAGGCAGGAAUCAGAAGCUGAAUGGGGAAAAGUUGCCCCAUCUUCAGGACAAUGGGAGUGGUGUCUUACACACAUACGUGGAGAUCUGGUCCUGUCACUGCCAACUCAGAGCCCUCUAUUGGCUCCCCUGGCCCUUGGAGUGAGACCCACUUUCCUUAUCAGGCCUGGGGUCCUACAGGAUCUGCUUUCAUCUCCUUUGACCUCAUCUGCACCUCUCUUCGACUCUUGGAAACUCUGUCCCCACUGCCCACUGUCUGUUCCUCACACACCCCAGCUCUUCCUGGCUCAAGGCUUUUGCUCUGGGACUUCCUUUGCUGAGCUCUCAGACAUUUGCAGAUCUAGUCCCUUGUCAUCAUUCACACCUGGGCCUCAAAUGUUACCUCCUCAAAGAGGCUUUCUCCACCUGAUUCCCAGUCUACUCUCUAUAUCAUCUCCAUGCUUUGUGUCCUUCCUGGUUUUUCUCAUUCUCCAAUGUGUGUGACCUUCCAGUUGACUUGUUUCUUAUCUGUACCCCUGGAUAGGAUGUGACCUCCAGGAGAGCAGGGGCCUUGUCUGCCUUGCUCUCCACUGGGUCCUUGACUCACAGUAGGCACUCAACAAAUAUUUGUUGAAUGGAAGAAUGAAGGAAGGAAAUGUGGGGGCUAGGGUUGAGCAGGAAGGAAGCCCCCUGGGAGGGGAUCUGGCAUAGCACACGUGGAGUGGGAUCACACAGGAGGCUGCUGAUUGCAAGGGUAGCCCUUGUGGUGCUGACCAAUCACUGCCCACAGGUGGAUGUACUGGACAGACUGGGAGGAGGACCCCAAGGACAGUCGACGAGGGCGGCUGGAGAGGGCCUGGAUGGAUGGCUCACACCGAGACAUCUUUGUCACCUCUAAGACAGUGCUUUGGCCCAAUGGGCUGAGCCUGGACAUCCCAGCUGGGCGCCUCUACUGGGUGGAUGCCUUCUAUGACCGCAUUGAGACCAUACUGCUCAAUGGCACAGACCGGAAGGUGGGCAGGCAGGCACCUGUGUGGGGGUGUUCAUGUGUGCACUGCUAGACCACAUUUGUGUGCGGAUGAGGCUUCUUAUGUGUGAAUGUGUGAGUCUCUCUAUAUCCAGGCCUGUGCACUUCGUGCAUGUUUACCUACGUACCGAUGGACGUGCACACCGGUGUGCUGUGUCUUAUGUGUUGUAUUGCUUGAGGAUUGCCUCUGUAAGAGUCCAUCUGUGAUUGCAUGUUGUCUGCAGGUUUGACACUCAUGUGCACGCCUGGGUGUAUACCUUGUGUGCACCUCGGCAUGUUUAUGCACACACACACAGCACGCUUCGGUGUGUGCCUGCUGUGUUCGCCUCUGUGCAAGUGCAGGAUGACUAGAGAUGGCAUAUAUGUACGCUUUUUCGUUUGGGUGGCCAUGUGUUUUAUGAGUCAUGUGCCUACGAGGCAUGUGGACUAAGCUCUUUCAUAAUAUAUGAGGCGCUUUAUGAUAUGGCCCCUGACUAUCUCUGUGGUCUUAUUUCUGCCCCUGUUCCCUGUAUCCCAGUAUUUGAACAAGAAACACUACACAGCUUGGAAAUUCCCAGCACACAGCAUAUCGAGUGCUGCCCUCUGUGCUGUUGCUUAUGCAGUUUUCUGCCUCCACCCCCACUCCUCCUCACCCAGCACACUGCUCAGGGGCCACCUCUUCUAGGAUGUUGUCUCCAGACCCCUUUUCCAUCUUGGAUUGCUGUGUAUGCCCUCCAUGACACAUACACAGUCUUUUUCAUACCACAGCGUGGCCCUUAAUAGAUCCUGGCAAGUGUUUGUUGGAUGAAGAAGCGAACGGAUGAAUUCUGGCUGUAUGCUCAGUACUGUGUGUGUGUGUGUGUGCGCACACAUGUGUGUUGGAGGGAUAUGAAUGAAUAUGGAUGGAUACAAGGGAGGACAAGGUGGACAAGUUCCCCAUCAGCAUCCCACUGGGUCCAGUGUCUAGCACCUCACUGUGUGCAAAGCUAUCAUCCUCAGGGGCUCCCAGGCUAAUGCGGGAAGCAAGACCCAUACCCAGGACAUGGACAAAUGAGUAGACAAAAUGGUGAUCCCCCUGGGCCUUCCUCAGGCACCCCAUUUGUCUAUAGCUCCUCAGUAACCUCCCCUCAAUUCUUAGAUUGUAUAUGAGGGUCCUGAGCUGAACCACGCCUUUGGCCUGUGUCACCACGGCAACUACCUCUUCUGGACUGAGUACCGGAGUGGCAGUGUUUACCGCUUAGAACGGGGCACAGGCGGUGCACCCCCUACGGUGACCCUUCUGCGCAGUGAGCGGCCCCCCAUCUUUGAGAUCCGCAUGUAUGAUGCUCAGCAGCAGCAAGGUACCCCCUGGGGCUGGGGCCAGUGAGGGGGUGGUACCUAGACAGGGGGGUAAGGCUACUCUGGGGAGGGGGGUGGUGAAGGCACUCCCCAGGGAUCCCAGGCUCUGACUUUUGAGGCUCUCAAGAAGAAAGGCCCCUAACCCAGUUGACUUUGUCUUCCCUCUCUCCUUCCCUGCCCCAUGCCUACGUGUUCUCUUCUUCAACGUGUUCACUAUCUUCUCACCACUUCCUCUCUUUCUCACUCCUCACUUCAAUGUGUCUUUUCCCUGUCCUCUCAUCUCCUGUCUCUGGCCUCUGCUGACUCUAUGACAACCCUGUCCUUCCCGGCCCCUCCCUUGGCCCCUCCUUUGCAGUGGGUACCAACAAAUGCCGGGUGAACAACGGUGGCUGCAGCAGCCUGUGCCUGGCCACCCCUGGGAGCCGCCAGUGUGCCUGCGCCGAGG